rnacentral:pre_miRNA from 15 species
UGAAAGACAUGGGUAGUGAGACGUCGGAGCCUCGUCGUAUCACUAUUCUGUUUUUC